UACGUAGGGGGCAAGCGUUGUCCGGAAUCACUGGGCGUAAAGGGUGCGUAGGCGGGUCUUUAAGUCAGGGGUGAAAUCCUGGAGCUCAACUCCAGAACUGCCUUUGAUACUGAGAUCUUGAGUUCGGGAGAGGUGAGUGGAACUGCGAGUGUAGAGGUGAAAUUCGUAGAUAUUCGCAAGAACACCAGUGGCGAAGGCGGCUCACUGGCCCGAUACUGACGCUGAGGCACGAAAGCGUGGGGAGCAAACAGG
rnacentral:rRNA from 1 species